AGAGUUUGAUCAUGGCUCAGGAUGAACGCUGGCGGCGUGCCUAACACAUUCAAGUCGAACGGUGAAGGGACUUCGGUCCCGGAUCAGUGGCGGACGGGUGAGUAACGCGUGAGCAACCUGCCUUUGCUUGGGGGAUAACAGUUGGAAACGACUGCUAAUACCGCAUAAAGCGGCAGAACCGCAUGGUUCAACCGCCAAAGAUUUAUUGAGCAAAGAUGGGCUCGCGUCCGAUUAGAUAGUUGGUGAGGUAACGGCCCACCAAGUCUGCGAUCGGUAGCCGGACUGAGAGGUUGAACGGCCACAUUGGAACUGAGAAACGGUCCAGACUCCUACGGGAGGCAGCAGUGGGGAAUAUUGGGCAAUGGGCGAAAGCCUGACCCAGCGACGCCGCGUGAAGGAAGAAGGCCCUCGGGUUGUAAACUUCAGUCAACAGGGAAGAAACAAAUGACGGUACCUGUGGAGGAAGCCACGGCUAACUACGUGCCAGCCGCAGC
rnacentral:rRNA from 1 species